UGAGGGAUUGUUCAUGGUUCGUUCGCCACGACUCAUAACCUGAAGGUCGUAGGUUCAAAUCCUACUCCCGCAACCA
rnacentral:tRNA from 1 species